ACACUCCUGCGGGAGGCAGCAGUGGGGAAUAUUGCACAAUGGGCGCAAGCCUGAUGCAGCCAUGCCGCGUGUAUGAAGAAGGCCUUCGGGUUGUAAAGUACUUUCAGCGGGGAGGAAGGCGAUAAGGUUAAUAACCUUGUCGAUUGACGUUACCCGCAGAAGAAGCACCGGCUAACUCCGUGCCAGCAGCCGCGGUAAUACGGAGGGUGCAAGCGUUAAUCGGAAUUACUGGGCGUAAAGCGCACGCAGGCGGUCUGUCAAGUCGGAUGUGAAAUCCCCAGGCUCAACCUGGGAACUGCAUUCGAAACUGGCAGGCUAGAGUCUUGUAGAGGGGGGUAGAAUUCCAGGUGUAGCGGUGAAAUGCGUAGAGAUCUGGAGGAAUACCGGUGGCGAAGGCGGCCCCCUGGACAAAGACUGACGCUCAGGUGCGAAAGCGUGGGGAGCAAACAGGAUUAGAUACCCGAGUAGUCCCAU
rnacentral:rRNA from 1 species